rnacentral:lncRNA from 1 species
CAAGACUCAACUCAAAACAAAGUGAGUUGAGAAAGUAUACCUUUGUUGAUUCCUCUUUGCAUAAGCAAAGGAUAAUCACCCAAGAGAUAGGGCCUUCAUUCCUUGCUUCUUAGAUCCAUGGAUGUGGAUGGAAGAAUAGGUUUCUCUAAGUUCUCAAAAUUGAGAACCUCUAAGUCUCCACACCAAGGUAAGAUUUUAGGAAGAAAUGAGUGACCUAGAGGAAGUAAGAUUACUAGCUAUUUUCCUCUAGGGUGGCUGGCCUCUUUAGAGAGAAAAGAGAGUUUGUGUUCUCAUAUUUUCUCUAAAAGAAACCCUAAAUGAAUUUUGGCUAUAAAGUCAUAUUUAUACCUACAUUCAUUGGAGUGGCAAACUUGUAAUUAAGUCCAAAACCCACCCCUUUAUCAAUAUGGCCGGCCAUAGGGUUUCGUUGGGCUUUUUAGUCCUUUGUGAAUUAUUUGUCAUUAAGUUGUCAUACAACUUAAGUCAAUGGGCUUGACGUUAGAAGCCCAUUGGGCCUUGAUGGCCAAAACUAACCCAUGGUCUUUUAACGAACUUUAUUCGUUUGAUUAAUUAACAUAUUAAUUAAUCCUUGCCAUAAAUAAAUAAUUAAACCAUUUAAUUAUCCUUACUCAUCUCCGUUGUUUCUUUAAUCUCUACCUUACACGGUGUACGAUCCAUUAGGUUCCAUUAGGCAGUGGGCGAUUAGAACUCUUUCAAAUCGAUUGUGAAUUGAAACUUACUUUCAAUUCUCCCUUUAGUGAUUAUACACGUUUACGGCUUCCACAAACCAUGAGUAACACCUAGCAGUAUGUCAUGGUUACCCAAGUUAAUCAGAAGAGGUGGAGAACCUAUUCAGUUUAGGAUUACAAUGCAAUACGGUCUUUCUCUAAUACAAUACUCUU